UAUAACACAAGCUCCUUCUCAGCGGUUCUUCUCAGUCCACACACACAAAGAUACAGCAUAAGAGUGAUCAGACUUCCACAUCAACUCAUUCAUUUCAGGUGAUAUCCAAAACUUUGCCUAGAAUGGAAACCAGCAGGGUCAUCUCAACUGACAAAGCAACAGUUGUCAUCCAAAUAAAUCCACAGGCGGCACAAAAUGCUGUUAUUUGUGAUGAUGGACAGGAGGCCAGAGGAGCACAUCACAAUAUGGCUCUUAAGGGAUUUUUUAAAGCACAACCAAAGGCACUGGGGACUGUCCAGAUAAUGAUUGGAGUGGUGAUUUUCUUAUUUGGUAUUGUACGCACCAGCAACAUCAACAACAAUUACCUUUACCCAGCUAUUUCUGUCAUAAGUGGAAUAACUUACUGGGGAUCUUUCAUUUACAUCAGUGCUGGAUCUCUGUCUGUAGCUGCUCAGAAUAAACUUGAUCUGUGUGUGGUGAAAGCUUCUCUUAUAAUGAAUGUGAUCGGUGCCAUAACUGCAGGGAUAGCCAUUCUUCUGAUGGGCAUAGAAAUAGGAUUGCUUGCCGAGAUAAGAUGCUACAAUGACUAUGGUAGAACUACUGACACCUGUUCCCAUUUUAAGAGAUAUGAUCUGGGGAUCAAUGGAAUAUUGCUGGUGUUCUCCAUCCUUCAGUUCAUCAUCUCCAUCUGUAUCUCAGGAUUUGCCUGCAAAGCCACCACCAGCAACAACUCUACAGUGGUCAGUGUGGCACUAAACCAGGAAUACUGAGUCACAGUGAGAAGAUCUUACCAAGGUUGCAAGGAAUUAAGAUCUCAUAUUGUUGCUUCCAAGCAUUUUUUUUUUUUCUUUUUUGUUUUGAUUAGAUUUUUUUUUUUUUUUAAUUGAAAAUACAUCAAAUGAUGUGUAUACAUUAAAUGUUUGCUGACACAAAGAAUUUUUUUCUCUGGUGUCUUUUUUAAUCUAUAAUUAAUAAUAAUAAUAAUACUUAUUAUUAUUAUUAUUAUUAUUGUUUCAAUAAAGGCACACAUUUUAAGUUUAAAUAUCUAACCAAGUUAAACCCAGGUUCAGUGAACAAGAAGCUGUCCCAGUGCAUGAAAAGAAAACACAUCAAAGCCACCUGUAUCUAGUGCCAA